UGGGGUGUGGCUCAGUGGUAAAGCACUUGCUUACCACGUGUGAGGCACUGGGUUCAAUCCUCAGCACCACGU
rnacentral:tRNA from 1 species